rnacentral:rRNA from 1 species
CCCCACAAGCGGUGGAGCAUGUGUUUAAUUCGAAGCAACGCGCAGAACCUUACCAACCCUUGACAUCCUUGGACCGCCAGAGAGAUCUGGUUUUCUCGUAAGAGACCAAGUGACAGGUGCUGCAUGGCUGUCGUCAGCUCGUGUCGUGAGAUGUUCGGUUAAGUCCGGCAACGAGCGCAACCCACAUCCUUAGUUGCCAGCAGUUCGGCUGGGCACUCUAAGGAAACUGCCCGUGAUAAGCGGGAGGAAGGUGUGGAUGACGUCAGGUCCUCAUGGCCUUACGGGUUGGGCUACACACGUGCUACAAUGGUGCCUACAGUGGGUUAAUCCCCAAAAGGCAUCUCAGUUCGGAUUGGGGUCUGCAACUCGACCCCAUGAAGUCGGAAUCGCUAGUAAUCGCGUAACAGCAUGACGCGGUGAAUACGUUCCCGGGCCUUGUACACACCGCCCGUCACACCAUGGGAGUUGGCUCUACCCGACGGCCGUGCGCUAACCUUUUGGAGGCAGCGGACCACGGUAGGAUCAGCGACUGGGGUG